rnacentral:rRNA from 1 species
GACGAACGCUGGCGGCGUGCUUAACACAUGCAAGUCGAACGCUGAAGACCUGGCUUUUGCUGGGUUGGAUGAGUGGCGAACGGGUGAGUAACACGUGAGUAACCUGCCCUCUUCUUUGGGAUAACGCCCGGAAACGGGUGCUUAUACUGGAUGUUCUCCGAUCUUCUCUUGGGGGUUGGUGGAAAGGUUUGUUCUGGUGGGGGCUGGGCUCGCGGCCUGUUAGCGGGUGGGUGGGGUGUGGGCCUAACAAGGCUGUGUCGGGUAGCCGGCCUGGGAGCGUGGCCGGACAGGGUGGGCGUGAGAAACGGCCCAGAGACACACGGGAGGCAGCAGUGGGAGGUAUUGGACAAUAGGCGAAAGCCUGAGGCGGCGACGCGGUGUAAGAGAUGGGGGCCUUCGGGUUGGAAACCUCUUUCGCAAAUGGUCAGGCGGCAACUGGGGGUUGUAGUGAGGGUAGUGGGUAAAGAAGCGCCGGCUAACUACGUG